UGGCGCACGGGUGAGUAUCGCGUGGGAACCUGCCUUUUUCUGCGGGACAACGGUUGGAAACGACCGCUAAUACCGCAUACGCCCUACGGGGGAAAGGUCCGCCGGAGAGAGAGGGGCCCGCGUUUGAUUAGCUUGUUGGUGGGGUAAUGGCCUACCAAGGCGACGAUCAAUAGCUGGUCUGAGAGGAUGAUCAGCCACACUGGGACUGAGACACGGCCCAGACUCCUACGGGAGGCAGCAGUGGGGAAUAUUGGACAAUGGGGGCAACCCUGAUCCAGCAAUGCCGCGUGUGUGAUGAAGGCCUUAGGGUUGUAAAGCACUUUCACUGGUGAAGAUGAUGACGGUAACCAGAGAAGAAGCCCCGGCUUACUUCGUGCCAGCAGCCGCGGUAAU
rnacentral:rRNA from 1 species